AAAGAAGGAAGGAAGGAAGGAAGGAAAGAAAGAAAGAGAGAGAGAGAGGGAGAAAGAAAGAAAGGAAAGAAAGAGAGAGAGAGAGGGAGAAAGAAAGUAAGAAAGAAAGAAAGACAGACAGACAGAGACAGACAGGGUCUUGGCCAGGCAAGGUGGCUCAUGCAUGAAAUCCCAACAUUUUGGGAGGCCAGGGCGGGCAGAUCACCUGAGCUCAGGAGUUAGAAACCAGCUUGGGCAACAUAGCAAAACCCUAUCUCGACAAAAAUUACAAAAAUUAGCAAGGGGUGUUUCGGAGUCUACUCUGGCUCAGGAGGCUGCCUGUAAAAAAACAAAACAAACAAACAAAAAAAUUAGCCAAGCGUGGUGGCAUGUGCCUAUAGUUCUAGCUGCUUGGGAGGGUAAGGUGGGAGGAUUGCAUAAGCCUGGGAGGUUGAGGCUACCGUGAGCUGUGAUUGAGCCAUUGCACUCCAGCCUAGGUGACAGAGUGAGACUCUGUCUCAAAAAUAAAUAAAUACAUAAAUAAGAAACUCGGUCUCUGUCACCCAGACUUGAGUGCAAUGGCAUGUUCACAGCUCACAGCAGACUCGACCUCUUGGGCUCAAAGGAUCCUCUCAGCUCAGCCUCUUGAGUAGCUGGGACUACAGAUGCAUGCCACCAUGUCUGGCUAAUUUUUUUUUCUUUUCUUUUUUUUUUUUGUUUUAUAGAUAAGGUCUUGCUAUGUUGCCCUGGCUGGUCUGAACUCCUGGCUUCAAGCAAAGCAAUUCUCCCACCUAGAUCUCCCCAAGCGCUGGAAUUACUGGCGCAAGGCACCAUACCCAGCCAGAAGCUGCCAUUUCUUUUCCACUGUCUCUUGUAGGAUGAUUUGAAGUAGCUCUAAGCAGGUGGCAGAGCAGGCUUGGACAUGUCCUGCUACUGCUGAACUCUUCCUGGGAGUUCACCAAGCCAGUAGGAAAUUCAGCUGCUCCCCUCUCCAAAGACUCCACUACAGUGAUCCCUCCUCCAUGUGGCCUUCUCAGACCAGGCCCUCACACCUCCUUGUUUCCUGGGUGCAGCUUUUGCUACCCAAGAGCAGAAACACAUGCUUCUCAGCUGCCCUGCCUAUGACUUCUAUUUCUCAGCUUUUUGCCUUCUUGAAUGUCUAGGAAUGGAGUAGGUGCUCAAUAAAGGGCUUUAUGAUUUGAUUUGGCUACUUCCCUGCCCUCCUCCCAAUUCCUUACCCUGAGUACAAAUAACGACUGAAGUGGGCUUAGACUAAACCCCAGAACUGCAGAAGACCCUAUAAUCAGGCC
rnacentral:lncRNA from 10 species